CACGUAGGGCGCAAGCGUUGUCCGGAAUUAUUGGGCGUAAAGAGCUCGUAGGCGGUCUGUUGCGUCCGCUGUGAAAACCCGGGGCUUAACCCUGGGCUGGCAGUGGAUACGGACAGACUAGAGGUAGGUAGGGGAGAAUGGAAUUCCCGGUGUAGCGGUGAAAUGCGCAGAUAUCGGGAGGAACACCGGUGGCGAAGGCGGUUCUCUGGGCCUUACCUGGCGCUGAGGAGCGAAAGCGUGGGGAGCGAACAGG
rnacentral:rRNA from 1 species